ensembl:lncRNA
CUCGUCCUCAUCCUCACCUGUUAAACAGCAUUCAUCAAGAAAAAGACGGGUAUUGUUGUAUACUUUGUAUGCCCUCUAUAAUUACCUCUUUUUGAAAAUCAGUUAGAUAUUGUCCUUAGUCAAUAACAUUCCACAAGUUUUAAAACAUGUGGUUUAAGAAAUUAUUUUGAACAAUUUGAUUAAUCGUUCAUUUCUCUUAUAUUCUGGAAGUGCUUUUAAUGAUUUUAUAUUUUUGUUUACUUUUUGUUCACUUCUGUAGUGUUUUUGUUAGAUCUUAUACUUGUUGUAAUUUAAAUAUGUCCUUAUAUGUCAGCAGGAGAGGUUUCAGUCAAGAUUGGUCAAACUACGGGAACAUCAUAACAAUUGCUCCAAGCGCUUCAAUAGAGCAGAAAUUAAAAAAACCAACACAACAAAAAAGACUGCCAUACAUGAGGAUUGCGUUGUAUUCCAGUCAUCUGAUGCACCCUGUGCUAUGUGUACCUCUGUAAAGGCAUCACCACCCUCUCGCCCUUCUCCACUCCCCUCAUCAUCAUCAUCAUCAGCUGCCCCUGUGAUUGGCACAUCAUCUUCAUCCUCCCCAUCAUCACCUGCCCCUUUGCCCUGUGAUGCAUCCACUUCUGUGAUCUCUCCAUCACAGGUGUCCCAGACACUCUCAAUAAGGGAGAUGCACUUAAGGCCAUCAAGAAAAAGACAGUAUUCUGGAAGUGCCUUCAGUGAUUCAGACCUCUCGGACUACAGUGAUGUAGACUAUGUGCCCCAGAUCAGCUCAGAUGAAUCAGAUGGCAGUGCUUCUGGAC